rnacentral:rRNA from 1 species
CUCGAGGCCAGAUCUUUCCGGUUGAUCCCGCCGGACCCGACCGCUAUCGGGGUAGGGCUAAGCCAUGGGAGUCGAACGCCCCGCCGCUGCGGGGCGUGGCGGACGGCUGAGUAACACGUGGCUAACCUACCCUCGGGACGGGGAUAACCCCUCGGGAAACUGGGGCUAAUCCCCGAUAGGCGGGGGGUGCCUGGAAGGGUCCUCCGCCGAAAGGGGCCGCGGGGGGUUAUCGCCCGCGGUCCGCCCGAGGAUGGGGCUGCGGCCCAUCACGGUAGUUGGCGGGGUAAUGGCCCGCCAAGCCUACGACGGGUAGGGGCCGUGAGAGCGGGAGCCCCCAGAUGGGCACUGAGACAAGGGCCCAGGCCCUACGGGGCGCACCAGGCGCGAAAACUCCGCAAUGCGGGCAACCGUGACGGGGCUACCCCGAGUGCCCCCCUUGGGGGGGCUUUUCCCCGCUGUAAGUAGGCGGGGGAAUAAGCGGGGGGCAAGACUGGUGUCAGCCGCCGCGGUAAUACCAGCCCCGCGAGCGGUCGGGGUGUUUACUGGGCCUAAAGCGCCCGUAGCCGGCUCGACAAGUCCCCGCCUAAA